rnacentral:pre_miRNA from 1 species
GGCUCGCAGAUCAAACAGUUCUUGUAGCACUAAAGUGCUUAUAGUGCAGGCAAUGUUUAGUCGUCUACUGCAUUAUGAGCACUUCAAGUCCUGCAAGCUGUAGAACUACAACUUCAGUAUGUCUUUCAAUCAAGCU